GGUGGGAAUGUAAAUUGAUACAGCCACUAUGGAGAACAGUAUGGAGGUUCCUUAAAAAACUACAAAUAGAACUACCAUACGACCUAGCAAUCCCACUACUGGGCAUAUACCCUGAGAAAACCAUAAUUCAAAAGGAGUCAUGUACCAAAAUGUUCAUUGCAGCUCUAUUUACAAUAGCCAGGACAUGGAAGCAACCUAAGUGUCCAUCAUUGGAUGAAUGGAUAAAGAAGAUGUGGCACAUAUAUACAAUGGAAUAUUACUCAGCCAUAAAAAUAAACGAAAUUGAGCUAUUUGUAAUGAGGUGGAUAGACCUAGAGUCUGUCAUACAGAGUGAAGUAAGUCAGAAAGAGAAAGACAAAUAUCGUAUGC